UACGUAGGAGGCGAGCGUUGUCCGGAAUACUGGGCGUAAAGCGUGCGCAGGCGGUUUUGUAAGUCUGUCGUGAAAUCCCCGGGCUCAACCUGGGAAUUGCGAUGGAGACUGCAAGGCUAGAAUCUGGCAGAGGGGGGUAGAAUUCCACGUGUAGCAGUGAAAUGCGUAGAUAUGUGGAGGAACACCGAUGGCGAAGGCAGCCCCCUGGGCUAAGAUUGACGCUCAUGCACGAAAGCGUGGGGAGCAAACAGG
rnacentral:rRNA from 1 species